rnacentral:lncRNA from 10 species
ACGGACGUGGAUGGCCGGCCUCUGCCCCCAGCCUGGGGUCCCCUAACGGGCAGUCUCUCCUCCGGAGCUCCCCAUCAGCUGGGCUGUGGGGCCUCCGUCCGUCCUCGGCUUUUCCUGCCAUCUCUCUGCUUCCUUUUCUCCAUCUACAGGUGUCUGGCCUGCACCGUGGCCUGAAGCCCUCUAGCCUCUGGCUUCACCUCACCUUUACCCACAACGGCAGGUGAACCUGAGAUGCUUCCAGGGGCAGGAGAUGUUGGUGGCCUGUGGCCUGAGCAGGAUGUGUCUUCCCUGAAUGACAGGCCUAUGAUCCCAUUAACAUAGAAGCAGAAAAUAAAAAAUUAAGACACUU